UGGCAGGGCAAGCUGUCUGGAGCCUGGGGCCUUUUCAGUAAUUGACUUACCUGGGCUUGCCUGUACUUGCCCAGUUUUUGGAAACAGAUUCAGGCCUCGUCUCCUGAACUACCAAUUUGAAGCCUGUCAUAGAGUCAGCCUAACCUUCUCACUUUCAGGUUGUAACUUGCCUGAGAUGUCAUGAGAUCAAGGUGUUAAUCCCACCAAACAAAGCCAUGGCUUGAGCUGUUCUGGCUUCACUCACAUACAAGGAAAGGAAUCCUGGUGAACACAUUUGGUGAUGAUGGUGGCCAACAAAUGAGAUCAAAAGGUCCACCCCAAAUUGAUUCCGUUAGCAUAAUUUGAGUUAGCCAAGAGGAUCUGCAGAUCUGACACAUGAAGGACUCCCAAGAACAUGAACUUCCAGCUGCUACCAGUGAGGGGCCUUGAUCAGAUCCACUGCUGGAAGAGGGGGAUUUCCCAUUGACUGAGAACACUUCCGAGCCAGCCAGCAAGGUCUUUGUUUCCAGCUGCCAGGCCUUUGCAUCAAGUCAGGAGGCUGAAGAAGAAGGUCAGCUCAUGUCCUGGAUUAACACAGCCAAACCUUCAGAGGAAAUAUAAAAGGUCUCUGCCU